AGUGAACGCUGGCGGUAGGCCUAACACAUGCAAGUCGAACGGCAGCACAGAGGAGCUUGCUCCUUGGGUGGCGAGUGGCGGACGGGUGAGGAAUACAUCGGAAUCUACUCUGUCGUGGGGGAUAACGUAGGGAAACUUACGCUAAUACCGCAUACGACCUACGGGUGAAAGCAGGGGAUCUUCGGACCUUGCGCGAUUGAAUGAGCCGAUGUCGGAUUAGCUAGUUGGCGGGGUAAAGGCCCACCAAGGCGACGAUCCGUAGCUGGUCUGAGGGGAUGAUCAGCCGCACGGGAACUGAGACACGGUCCAGACUCCUACGGGAGGCAGCAGUGGGGAAUAUUGGACAAUGGGCGCAAGCCUGAUCCAGCCAUACCGCGUGGGUGAAGAAGGCCUUCGGGUUGUAAAGCCCUUUUGUUGGGAAAGAAAUCCAUCUGGUUAAUACCCGGGUGGGAUGACGGUACCCAAAGAAUAAGCACCGGCUAACUUCGUGCCAGCCGCCGCCGUAA
rnacentral:rRNA from 1 species